UACGAAGGGGGCUAGCGUUGCUCGGAUUGACUGGGCGUAAAGGGCGCGUAGGCGGUUUGCACAGUCAGACGUGAAAUUCCUGGGCUCAACCCUGGGGGCUGCGUUUGAUACGUGUAGACUUGAGUGCGGAAGAGGGUCGUGGAAUUCCCAGUGUAGAGGUGAAAUUCGUAGAUAUUGGGAAGAACACCGGUGGCGAAGGCGGCGACCUGGUCCGAUACUGACGCUGAGGCGCGAAAGCGUGGGGAGCAAACAGG
rnacentral:rRNA from 1 species